GGAACUAGAUGUGGGGGCCAUUCCACGGUCUCCGUGUCGCAGCUAACGCAUUAAGUUCCCCGCCUGGGGAGUACGGCCGCAAGGCUAAAACUCAAAGGAAUUGACGGGGGCCCGCACAAGCGGCGGAGCAUGCGGAUUAAUUCGAUGCAACGCGAAGAACCUUACCAAGGCUUGACAUAUACGAGAACGGGCCAGAAAUGGUCAACUCUUUGGACACUCGUAAACAGGUGGUGCAUGGUUGUCGUCAGCUCGUGUCGUGAGAUGUUGGGUUAAGUCCCGCAACGAGCGCAACCCUCGUUCUAUGUUGCCAGCACGUCAUGGUGGGAACUCAUAGGAGACUGCCGGGGUCAACUCGGAGGAAGGUGGGGAUGACGUCAAAUCAUCAUGCCCCUUAUGUCUUGGGCUUCACGCAUGCUACAAUGGCCGGUACAAAGGGCUGCAAUACCGUAAGGUGGAGCGAAUCCCAAAAAGCCGGUCUCAGUUCGGAUUGAGGUCUGCAACUCGACCUCAUGAAGUCGGAGUCGCUAGUAAUCGUGAAUCAGCAACGUCACGGUGAAUACGUUCCCGGGCCUUGUACACACCGCCCGUCAAGUCAUGAAAGUCGGUAACACCCAACGCCAGUGGCCUAACCCCUUGUGGGAGGGAGCUGUCUAAGGUGGGA
rnacentral:rRNA from 1 species